rnacentral:rRNA from 1 species
GAUGAACGCUGGCGGCGUGCCUAAUACAUGCAAGUCGAGCGAACAGAUAAGGAGCUUGCUCCUUUGACGUUAGCGGCGGACGGGUGAGUAACACGUGGGUAACCUACCUAUAAGACUGGAAUAACUCCGGGAAACCGGGGCUAAUGCCGGAUAACAUUUAGAACCGCAUGGUUCUAAAGUGAAAGAUGGUUUUGCUAUCACUUAUAGAUGGACCCGCGCCGUAUUAGCUAGUUGGUAAGGUAACGGCUUACCAAGGCAACGAUACGUAGCCGACCUGAGAGGGUGAUCGGCCACAAGAGAACGGAGACACGGUCCAGACUCCUAAGGGAGGCAGCAGUAGGGAAUCUGCCGGAAUGGGCGAAAGCCUGACGGAGCAACGCCGCGUGAGUGAUGAAGGUCUUCGGAUCGUAAACCUCUGUUAUUAGGGAAGAACAAAUGUGUAAGUAACUGUGCACGUCUUGACGGUACCUAAUCAGAAAGCCACGGCUAACUACGUG